GAACAGCUCUUUUGCAGCUAUUGGGGGCGAGCUACAUCACUGGAAAAGCUGGCGCCACCGUCGGCGUGACGUGAUAUGAGGGAUCAGGUGGACACAGCGGCCGCGUCGGCGCUGCUUCGGAAGCCCCGAUGCGAGCUGACAACGAAAGUUUAAAGUGGGGAUGUUUUUCCGCCUCGGGUGUCUGCUUGACAACACUUGAAAGCACUAUAAUAGCUAGUGGCUGCCUUUGAAGGCGUCCGAAAUGGUAGGCUACUGCUCGGUGCCGCAGCGCCGGACGUAUGCAAUGGAGCCCGGUGUCGGCGUUCACACGUACCCGCAGGCCAAGAAGCUGCGUGUACUUUGGAUUGCGAAACUUAGAACCGGCAAGCAGCCAUCGGCU
rnacentral:lncRNA from 1 species